rnacentral:rRNA from 1 species
GUGUGCUAAUACCGCAUAAUCUCUGAGGAGAAAAGCAGGGGAUCGCAAGACCUUGCGCUUUUGGAGCGGCCGAUGCCUGAUUAGCUUGUUGGUAAGGUAAAAGCUUACCAAGGCUUCGAUCAGUAGCUGGUCUGAGAGGACGACCAGCCACACUGGGACUGAGACACGGCCCAGACUCCUACGGGAGGCAGCAGUGGGGAAUUUUGGACAAUGGGGGCAACCCUGAUCCAGCCAUGCCGCGUGAGUGAAGAAGGCCUUCGGGUUGUAAAGCUCUUUCAGCCGGAACGAAACGGUUACGGAUAACACCCGUGACUACUGACGGUACCGGAAGAAGAAGCACCGGCUAACUACGUGCCAGCAGCCGCGGUAAUACGUAGGGUGCGAGCGUUAAUCGGAAUUACUGGGCGUAAAGCGUGCGCAGGUGGUUUUGUAAGUCAGAUGUGAAAGCCCCGGGCUCAACCUGGGAACUGCGUUUGAAACUACAAGACUAGAGUGUGGCAGAGGGGGGUGGAAUUCCGCGUGUAGCAGUGAAAUGCGUAGAGAUGUGGAGGAACACCGAUGGCGAAGGCAGCCCCCUGGGUCAACACUGACGCUCAGGCACGAAAGCAUGGGGAGCAAACAGGAUUAGAUACCCUGGUAGUCCAUGCCCUAAACGAUGUCAACUAGUUGUCGGGCCUUUACGGGCUUGGUAACGUAGCUAACGCGUGAAGUUGACCGUCUGGGGAGUACGAUCGCAAGAUUAAAACUCAAAUGAAUUGACGGGGACCCGCACAAGCGGUGGAUUAUGUGGAUUAAUUCGAUGCAACGCGAAAAACCUUACCUACCCUUGACAUGUAUCGAAGCCCGCAGAAAAGCGGGGGUGCCCGAAAGGGAACGAUAACACAGGUGCUGCAUGGCUGUCGUCAGCUCGUGUCGUGAGAUGUUGGGUUAAGUCCCGCAACGAGCGCAACCCUUGUCAUUAAUUGCCAUCAUUUAGUUGGGCACUUUAAUGAGACUGCCGGUGACAAACCGGAGGAAGGUGGGGAUGACGUCAAGUCCUCAUGGCCCUUA